UACGUAGGGGGCAAGCGUUGUCCGGAAUUAUUGGGCGUAAAGAGCGCGUAGGCGGUCCGAUAAGUCGGCUGUGAAAGUCAGGGGCUCAACCCUUGAAAGCCGGCCGAUACUGUCGGACUAGAGUCCGGAAGAGGCGAGUGGAAUUCCCGGUGUAGCGGUGAAAUGCGCAGAUAUCAGGAGGAACACCGGUGGCGAAGGCGGGUCUCUGGGCCGAUACUGACGCUGAGGAGCGAAAGCGUGGGGAGCAAACAGG
rnacentral:rRNA from 1 species